rnacentral:rRNA from 1 species
GACGUAGGGCGCGAGCGUUGUCCGGAUUUAUUGGGCGUAAAGAGCUCGUAGGCGGCUUGUCGCGUCGACUGUGAAAACCCGCGGCUCAACCGCGGGCCUGCAGCCGAUACGGGCAGGCUGGAGUUCGGUAGGGGAGACUGGAAUUCCUGGUGUAGCGGUGAAAUGCGCAGAUAUCAGGAAGAACACCAAUGGCGAAAGCAGCUUUCUGGGACGGUACUGACGCUGAGACGCGAAAGCGUGGGGAGCGAACAGG